AACGAACGCUGGCGGCAUGCCUAACACAUGCAAGUCGAACGAGACCUUCGGGUCUAGUGGCGCCCGGGUGCGUAACGCGUGGGAACCUUCCCUUAGGUUCGGCAUAACUCCCCGACAGGGGUGCUAAUACCGGAUAAUGUCUUCGGACCAAAGAUUUAUCGCCUUUGGAUGGGCCCGCGUUGGAUUAGCUAGUUGGUAGGGUAAAAGCCUACCACGGCGACGAUCCAUAACUGGUCUGAGAGGAUGAUCAGCCACACUGGGACUGAGACACGGCCCAGACUCCUACGGGAGGCAGCAGUGGGGAAUAGUGGACAAUGGGCGAAAGCCUGAUCGAGCAAUGACGGGUGAGUGAUGAAGGCAGUAGGGUUGUAAAGCGCUUGUAACCGGGAUGAUAAUGACAGUACCGGGAGAAUAAGCUACGGCUAACUCCGUG
rnacentral:rRNA from 1 species